AUUGAACGCUGGCGGCAGGCCUAACACAUGCAAGUCGAGCGAACCUAGCUUGCUAGGUGAGCGGCGAACGGGUGAGUAACGCGUAGGAAUCUGCCUGGUAGUGGGGGACAACGUUCCGAAAGGAACGCUAAUACCGCAUACGCCCUACGGGGGAAGGCAGGGGAUCGUCGGACCUUGGGCUAUCAGAUGAGCCUGGGUCGGAUUAGCUAGUUGGUAGGGUAAAGGCCUACCAAGGCGACGAUCCGGAACUGGUCUGAGAGGAUGAUCAGUCACACCGGAACUGAGACACGGUCCGGACUCCUACGGGAGGCAGCAGUGGGGAAUAUUGGACAAUGGGGGCAACCCUGAUCCAGCCAUGCCGCGUGUGUGAAGAAGGCCUUCGGGUUGUAAAGCACUUUAGGUCGGGAGGAAGGUUCGCUGGCUAAUAUCCAGCGGAAUUGACGUUACCGACAGAAUAAGCACCGGCUAACUCCGUGCCAGCCGCCGCGGUAA
rnacentral:rRNA from 1 species